UACAGAGGGUGCAAGCGUUAAUCGGAAUUACUGGGCGUAAAGCGUGCGUAGGCGGAUAUUUAAGUCGAUUGUGAAAUCCCCGGGCUCAACCUGGGAACUGCAUUCGAUACUGGAUGUCUAGAGUAUGGUAGAGGAAAGUGGAAUUCCCGGUGUAGCGGUGAAAUGCGUAGAGAUGCGGAGGAACACCGAUGGCGAAGGCAGCCCCCUGGGCUGACACUGACGCUCAGGCACGAAAGCGUGGGGAGCAAACAGG
rnacentral:rRNA from 1 species